rnacentral:rRNA from 1 species
GACGAACGCUGGCGGCGUGCUUAACACAUGCAAGUCGAACGAUGAACCCGGAGCUUGCUCCGGUGGAUUAGUGGCGAACGGGUGAGUAACACGUGAGUAACCUGCCCUUGACUCUGGGAUAACUGCGGGAAACUGUAGCUAAUACCGGAUACGACCCUCGGCGGCAUCGCCAGCGGGUGGAAAGAAUUUCGGUCAAGGAUGGACUCGCGGCCUAUCAGCUAGUUGGUGAGGUAACGGCUCACCAAGGCGACGACGGGUAGCCGGCCUGAGAGGGUGACCGGACGCACUGGGACGUAGGAACGGCCCGGACUCCUACGGGAGGCAGCAUUGGGGAAUAUUGCACGAGGGGCGCAAGCCUGAUGCAGCAACGCCGCGGGAGUGAUGACGGCCUUCGGGUUGUAAACCUCUUUCAGUAGGGAAGAAGCGAAAGUUACGGUACCUGCAGAAAAAGCACCGGCUAACUACGGGCCAGCCGCCGCCGUAA